UACGGAGGGGGCCAGCGUUGUUCGGAAUUAUUGGGCGUAAAGGGCGCGUAGGCGGUCGAGUAAGUCUGACGUGAAAUCCCUUGGCUCAACCAAGGAACUGCGUCUUAAACUGCUCGGCUUGAGUCCGGGAGAGGGUAGUGGAAUUCCCAGUGUAGCGGUGAAAUGCGUAGAUAUUGGGAGGAACACCGGUGGCGAAGGCGGCUACCUGGACCGGUACUGACGCUGAGGCGCGAAAGCUAGGGGAGCAAACGGG
rnacentral:rRNA from 1 species